ACGUGCCCAAAGGUACGGGAUAGCCUCGGGAAACUGAGAGUAAUACCGUAUGUGCCCCUCGGGGGAAAGAUUUAUCGCCUUUGGAUCGGCCCGCGUUGGAUUAGGUAGUUGGUGGGGUAAUGGCCUACCAAGCCUACGAUCCAUAGCUGGUUUGAGAGGAUGAUCAGCAACACUGGGACUGAGACACGGCCCAGACUCCUACGGGAGGCAGCAGUGGGGAAUCUUAGACAAUGGGGGAAACCCUGAUCUAGCCAUGCCGCGUGGACGAUGAAGGCCCUAGGGUUGUAAAGUCCUUUCAGCUGGGAAGAUAAUGACGGUAC
rnacentral:rRNA from 1 species